GGGCCCGCACAAGCGGUGGAGUAUGUGGUUUAAUUCGAUGCAACGCGAAGAACCUUACCAGGGUUUGACAUCCUGCGAAUCUCUUGGAAACGAGAGAGUGCCUUCGGGAACGCAGUGACAGGUGGUGCAUGGCUGUCGUCAGCUCGUGUCGUGAGAUGUUGGGUUAAGUCCCGCAACGAGCGCAACCCACGUCGUUAGUUGCCAGCAUUUUAGUUGGGCACUCUAGCGAGACCGCCGGUGAUAAACCGGAGAAGGUGUGGAUGACGUCAAGUCAUCAUGCCCCUUACAUCUGGGCUACACACGUACUACAAUGCUACGGACAAAGGGCAGCAAGUUCGCGAGGACAAGCAAAUCCCAUAAACGUGGCUC
rnacentral:rRNA from 1 species